rnacentral:rRNA from 1 species
CCUACGGGAGGCAGCAGUGAGGAAUAUUGGUCAAUGGACGAGAGUCUGAACCAGCCAAGUAGCGUGAAGGAUGACUGCCCUAUGGGUUGUAAACUUCUUUUAUAAAGGAAUAAAACGAGGCACGUGUGCCUUUUUUCAUGUACUUUAUGAAUAAGGAUCGGCUAACUCCGUGCCAGCAGCCGCGGUAAUACGGAGGAUCCGAGCGUUAUCCGGAUUUAUUGGGUUUAAAGGGAGCGUAGAUGGGUUGUUAAGUCAGUUGUGAAAGUUUGCGGCUCAACCGUAAAAUUGCAAUUGAUACUGGCAGUCUUGAGUACAGUUGAGGUAGGCGGAAUUCGUGGUGUAGCGGUGAAAUGCUUAGAUAUCACGAAGAACCCCGAUUGCGAAGGCAGCUUACUAAACUGUGACUGACAUUGAUGCUCGAAAGUGUGGGUAUCAAACAGGAUUAGAUACCCGGGUAGUC